GCAAUCUGCAAGCAAUUGGCUAUGUAUAAAGUUGAUACGUUGUGAAUACGGAGGAAAUAUUUACUUUCACAUCUUGCGACGGUAAACUAUGUAAACCGAAUCGAGCAAACUGUAUUUCUCUACGGUUUCUUCUUAUCAGUUCUUUGACACAUGAAUGCUGAUAAUCUAUUCCUAAGAAAGAGCUGAUAAAUAGUUUCGAAUAGUAGAAAGCACAUCAACAACUCAAAGAUCUUCUUAUUUCAUGCAAGACAAAGUAUAUAAUUAAAACGCUCACUUUAAAAUCUGGGUUCUAUACUUCGUGGUUGAAAAUGGUCAAUGGACCGAGAAUUGAAGCAUCAAAUUUUUGCCAGGACUUCCAGUUACAAAUCUUAUCGUUAAACCUGAACUUUUCCAAUUUCAGAACAGAAUUUUCCAACAUAUCUACAAUUUUGCUUAUGCCAUCUGCAUCUUCUGUAUAAAUGCUGGCGACUCAGUCCGACACCUAUUUAACAAGCUCGCCAUGUUAGCUAAAUGAUCCUUCCCUGACUUACUUAAGUAGGCGCAUAUGAUGCAGAAAAUAGGUCCCAGUGUACCACUCGCCUGUAGCCACGAGAGCAGAGAUGGGGAACUUGCGGCCUUCCAAGCCAUCAAGUGCGGCCAUUGGUGUAUUUUCUUUCUUUUUUGACAAUGUUUCCUUGUCAGCCACACCAGCUUAGUGGGAGUAAGUGACUUCACGUAUGAUACACGAAGAGUUCCUGUAUCAUCCACCUUUUCAUUGUGAUCCGUGCUACGUACUUUACUUAGUAAUGGCGUAGUCGUGGCCAACUUCUUACUGACUUGUUUAUCAAAAGGCUUUCUCAAAAAAAAAAAAAAAAAAAAAA
rnacentral:lncRNA from 1 species